UCUGAGUUUUAAGAACCAGUUUUGACUUUAGAAACACCUCUAUACACCUCUUACCUUUGUGAUCACUGGCGAUCUAUUCGUAUCACGCGUGAGCCCAAAAUGUAUCUCAUCCCUAGAGUGGGCAAACGGCAAACAGCUGCGUCAGAGAGUGAGUUCACCCGACGCGUAUCUGAGAGAUACUUUUGCAACGCAAAGGUAGACCGAGCUGGUCGGUUUGCUUUUUGGGUUGGCCGGUCGGUCAUAUUGUGUGCGUAGCGGCCAUGUGCUCUCUCUCUCUCUCUCUCUCCAUUUCUCUCCGAAUCGAUGAUUGUUCUCUCAGUUGGUGUAUAUUGUACAUAUUGUACACAUGAGCAACAAGUUGGGCUACAGUUUGGGUAGCCACUUUGCCUUGCCUGUGCCGCUGUCUUGCCGCUCAUUCUCGGAUUCUUCGUUUUUUUUUUGUUUUUUUUAAGGAACAUAAUCAGACCACCAAGUAAACUGAUACUAUGACAAAAACAACAAGAAAAGAAAGAAUAUUUUAUAUUGUUAAUAAGAAAAAGUGAAAUUGUGAAAAACUUGUGUAUCGACAACAAACCGACCUUUUGCAAAAAAAAAAAAAUUUAAAUAAAAAUAAAAAAAAGUUUGCGUUUUUUUUUUUAUUAUUAUUGUCGUAACAACAGGCUCAGAGACAAGCGACAUAUGACAAU